rnacentral:rRNA from 1 species
AUUGAACGCUGGCGGCAGGCCUAACACAUGCAAGUCGAGCGAGAGGCGGACGGGUGAGUAAUGUAUGGGGACUGCCCGAUAGAGGGGGGUAACUCCUGGAAACGGUAGCUAAUACCGCAUACUAUCGGAUAAUGCAUAUGGGAUUAGCUAGUAGGGGAGGUAAUUGCUCACCUAGGCGACGAUCCCUAGCUGGUCUGAGAGGGGGAUCAGCCACACUGGGACUGAGACACGGUCCAGACUCCUACGGAGGCAGCAGUGGGGAAUAUUGCACAAUGGGCGCAAGCCUGAUGCAGCCAUGCCGCGUGUAUGAAGAAGGCCCUAGGGUUGUAAAGUACUUUCAGUCGGGAGGCGUUACCGGCAGAAGAAGCACCGGCUAACUCCGUGCCAGCAGCCGCGGUAAUUC